CUUAUUUCACUUCCAGUACUCUGAUUUUAGCAGCUUUGCCAAAGCAGUGGGACCAUGUUUAUUUAAAUGAAGUUUAAAGAGGACUCAUGACAUUUUUGCAAAUGCCUGGAAAAUUUUAUUUGGUUAAAACCCAACACUUGUCAUCACACAGUUGGCAAGAUUAUUCUUUUAAGAUAACUGACAAUGAAGAACCAAAAAUCUAAUUUUUGAAGUUAUUUUUUUCAUCAAGAAAACAAAUGCAACUUUUAUUAGACAAAUCAAGGUUGUCAAAUCAGAUACAGCAUCAUUCUUUCGAAGGAGACAAAGUUCUGGCUCUUUGUGAGGUUUGAGAAUUGGUCCCACGCUUCAUGUCAUUCACCUUUGAGAAUUCUCAUUUGCAAUACAUUGGUCACAGUAUCCCAUCUUCUGCUCAAGCUAAGAGAAGAAAUCACUGCAAAUACAAAAAGCCAAAUAACCUGCUUCCUUGAUCCUGCUGUGACAUCUUGUAUCUGUGCACUUCCAUUUGCAUUAUAAUGGUAAGACUGUAUCAUGCCAGAUGUGUUAUUUCAAGAAGAGGAAACAUUUUAAGGACCAUAGACUAGUCCUUGCACCUCAUGUGAUGCAACCUCAUCAUGCCAACACUCCACAUUCCCUGAGUGUGGACUUUGGAGUCAGUGUUUUCUACACUCUCCUCUUGCUGUGUGACUUGAGGAUACAUAACCUCCCUGAGCCUCAGUUUCCUCAUCCAUAUGAUGCAGCUGAUUAUAUCUUCUCACAGUACUGUCGCAACAUUCAAGUAAAAUAAUGCAUGUGAAAACAGAAGUGCUUGAAGCAUGAUGGCUGAUCCUUGGCAGGAAUGCAUGGAUUAUGCAGUAACCCUAGCAGGACAAGCUGGAGAGGUGGUUCGUGAAGCUCUCAAGAAUGAAAUGAAUAUUAUGGUUAAAAGUUCUCCGGCUGAUUUGGUAACUGCUACUGACCAAAAAGUUGAAAAAAUGCUUAUCUCAUCCAUAAAGGAAAAGUAUCCAUCUCACAGUUUCAUUGGUGAGGAGUCUGUGGCAGCUGGGGAAAAAAGUAUCUUAACUGACAACCCUACGUGGAUCAUUGACCCUAUUGAUGGAACAACUAACUUUGUACACGGAUUUCCUUUUGUAGCUGUUUCAAUUGGCUUUGUGGUAAAUAAAAAGAUGGAGUUUGGAAUUGUGUACAGUUGCCUGGAAAAUAAGAUGUACACUGGCCGGAAAGGAAGAGGUGCCUUUUGUAAUGGGCAGAAACUGCAGGUUUCACGCCAAGAAGGAUCCGGGGUGUUGGAACAGCAGCUCUGAACAUGUGCCUGGUGGCCGCUGGGGCUGCGGACGCGUAUUAUGAAAUGGGGAUUCACUGCUGGGAUGUUGCAGGUGCUGGCAUCAUUGUGACUGAAGCUGGCGGAGUGCUCCUGGAUGUCACAGGUGGACCAUUUGAUUUGAUGUCACGAAGAGUAAUUGCUUCAAGCAGUAAAACAUUAGCAGAAAGGAUAGCCAAAGAAAUUCAGAUAAUACCUCUUCAAAGAGAUGAUGAAGAUUAACUCUGACAGCUUCACACAUUCAGUCACAGUUGGUCUCCCCAGGUUUUCUGAUGUGCUCGUGGUGUUAACAAAAUUCAGGACUUCUGUUUCACUUGAACAAUAUGAUUGGUGUAAAUUGCUUUCAGCGUCCAUAUUUAAAAACUACAACUUGUUCUGUGUUUUACUAAGAGUAGGUGUGCAAGAGUGGAUGAAAUAGUUCAUUGUUUUAAAAAUGUCUGUGUGGUAAGAAUGUACUUUGGGAAAGUACACAGGCAGUUGGUGAGAUAGGUUAUCACAUCAGCUGAAAUAGCCAGUUAGCAGUUUAGAGUUUCUAAGUAUUUAUGAGCCUGUGAAAUUUUGAGUUACUAUUUCUGUGCAUAUGCAUUCUUAAUGAGACAGUUAACUUUUUGGAAAAUUUUUUCUUUAGUUUCAAAAGCCAUAGUAAAUUUGUAAGAUGUAUAUAAUGAAUACUGCCUAGACCAAGAUCUCUUCUCUGCAGAAAACCUUGUUUUAUUCAUCAAUGUAGAACCAAACAUGGUACCUGUCAAAUAGGAGGCAAUCCAAAAAUAAGCAUUGAAAGAAUGAGUAUUUUGAAGGUAGUAAUUCCUAGUUGCUACGGAAAGUAAUGAGCUGAUCACUCUGUAAUUUUACUUCAGAUUUGGACAUAAGAACUAUCUGGUCAUCCUUUUUAUAUUUCAUGUUACUGUUCCUGUUAGCAUUUCAUAUUACCAUGCCAUUCCAGUGACCGCACCAAACAAAACUCACCCCGCCACUCUCGCUGUGCGUUUGUUUUAAAUCGACAGUGGUGGCAGUUGGAGCCGAGCAGAAACUGGUGGGCCAGAAACAGCGCUCUCCCCGCGCCCGCGUGGCCGCCUGUGUCGGUUUCCUGUUGCACAGAACACGUUGUCCCCGAGCCCAGUAGCGUCCAUGGUGCCUGCUUACCACGGCACAGUCUGGGAGCAGCGGUUCCGGGCACCCUCGCGAGGAUCCUGUCCCGAGGGUCUUCCAUGCGCUUGCAGCCGAGACGUUGAACGGAGCUGCAGCAUCUCGGUUUGACUGGGGCUGAAGCUCCUCCUCAGUCUCGCUUGUGUGGCUGUUGGCGGCAGCUCCUUGCUGUCUGGUGGCUCCAGGCUUGCCUUCCUCUCCAUCUUCGUAGCUGUGUCCUCAUCACGUGGCGACGGCCUUCCCCCGGAGGAAGUGAACCGAGAGAGGAGGCAAGCAGGAGACCGCUGUGCCUCCUAUAACCUGGUCUCUCAAGUCGUCACUCUCACUUCCAUUCUUUUCUGUUCAGCAGAUGUGACUCUUUAAGUCAGCCACACUCAAAGGCUGGGGAAUUCCCUGAAUAGAUAGCAUCAUUCUAGAAUUCUCUCUCUUGAGCUCCAGACUCAUGCUUCCAGAGGCCAAGUAAAAUCUCUCUCAAUGUAUUGCAGAUGUCUUAUGCUGAACGUGUCUCCAAAUAAACUCAAUCCCUGCUCCCA